AUGGGCUACCUCGAUGGCUCGAUCAAGGAGCCCGUUGCCGUCAUCAUCUCCGAGAAGGACACCGCCGGGAAGAAGGAGAUCACCGAGACACCCAACCCAGAACAUGCGAUCUGGGUCACUCAGGACCAGCAGGUGCUCACCUUUUUGCUCGCCUCCCUGUCCCGAGAAGUUCUGAUGCAGGUCUCGAACCACACCACCGCUGCGGGAGUGUGGCAUGCCUUGGUGGAAAGCUUCUCUGCGCAGUCGAGGGCACGCCAGAUUCAGCUUCGUUCGGCAAUCGGGAACGCA
rnacentral:rRNA from 1 species